GACGAACGCUGGCGGCGUGCCUAACACAUGCAAGUCGAGCGAUGAAACCCUUCGGGGUGGAUUAGCGGCGGACGGGUGAGUAACACGCGGGUAACCUGCCUCAUAGAGGGGGAUAGCCUCCCGAAAGGGAGAUUAAUACCGCAUAAUGUAUUUUGUUCGCAUGAAUAAAAUAUCAAAGGAGUAAUCCACUAUGAGAUGGACCCGCGGCGCAUUAGCUAGUUGGUGAGGUAACGGCUCACCAAGGCGACGAUGCGUAGCCGACCUGAGAGGGUGAUCGGCCACAUUGGAACUGAGACACGGUCCAGACUCCUACGGGAGGCAGCAGUGGGGAAUAUUGCGCAAUGGGGGAAACCCUGACGCAGCAACGCCGCGUGAAUGAUGAAGGCCUUAGGGUUGUAAAGUUCUGUCUUCUGGGACGAUAAUGACGGUACCAGAGGAGGAAGCCACGGCUAACUACGCGCCAGCAGCCGCGGUAA
rnacentral:rRNA from 1 species